rnacentral:rRNA from 1 species
UACGAAGGGUGCAAACGUUGCUCGGAAUUAUUGGGCGUAAAGCGCACGUAGGCGGCUUUGUAAGUCGGAUGUGAAAUCCCUCGGCUUAACCAAGGAAGUGCAUCCGAAACUACAGAGCUUGAGUACUUAAGAGGAUCGCGGAAUUCCCGGUGUAGAGGUGAAAUUCGUAGAUAUCGGGAGGAACACCAAUUGCGAAGGCAGCUCGCUGGGACGUUACUGACGCUGAGACGCGAAAGCGUGGGGAGCAAACAGG